GGAGAAAUACUCAAGAGGCUGAAGAGGCGCCCCUGCUAAGGGUGUAGGUCGGUUAAUACCGGCGCGCGGGUUCAAAUCCCGCUUUCUCCG
rnacentral:tRNA from 2 species